AUUGAACGCUGGCGGCAGGCUUAACACAUGCAAGUCGAACGAGUGGCGGACGGGUGAGUAAUGUAUGGGGAACUGCCCGAUAGAGGGGGAUAACUACUGGAAACGGUAGCUAAUACCGCAUACUAUCGGAUGAACCCAGAUGGGAUUAGCUAGUAGGUGAGGUAAAGGCUCACCUAGCCGACGAUCUCUAGCUGGUCUGAGAGGAUGACCAGCCACACUGGGACUGAGACACGGCCCAGACUCCGACGGGAGGCAGCAGUGGGGAAUAUUGCGCAAUGGGGGCAACCCUGACGCAGCCAUGCCGCGUGAAUGAAGAAGGCCUUCGGGUUGUAAAGUUCUUUCGGUAGCGAGGCGUUACCUACAGAAGAAGCACCGGCUAACUCCGUGCCAGCCGCCGCGGUAAUAC
rnacentral:rRNA from 1 species